rnacentral:rRNA from 1 species
CCUACGUGUGGCAGCAGUGAGGAAUAUUGGUCAAUGGGCGGGAGCCUGAACCAGCCAAGUCGCGUGAGGGAAGACGGUCCUACGGAUUGUAAAUCUCUUUUGCCGGGGAGCAACGGGGUCCUUGCGAGGGCCCGAUGAUAGUACCCGGAGACAAAGCAUCGGCUAACUCCGUGCCAGCAGCCGCGGAAAUACGGAGGAUGCGAGCGUUAUCCGGAUUUAUUGGGUUUAAAGGGUGCGUAGGCGGGCUGUUAAGUCAGCGGUCAAAUGUCGGGGCGCAACGCAGGCCUGCCGUUGAAACUGGCGGCCUAGAGUGGGCGAGAAGUAUGCGGAAUGCGUGGUGUAGCGGUGAAAUGCAUAGAUAUCACGCAGAACUCCGAUGGCGAAGGCAGCAUACCGGCGCACGACUGACGCUGAGGCACGAAAGCGUGGGUAUCGAACAGGAGUAGAUACCCUGGUAGUC